UACGUAGGUGGCAAGCGUUGUCCGGAUUUACUGGGCGUAAAGGGCGUGCAGGCGGUUUGUUAAGUGCAGGGUGAAAGCUCCCGGCUCAACUGGGAGAGGUCCUUGCAUACUGGCGAACUUGAGGGGGGUAGAGGAAAGUGGAAUUCCCGGUGUAGUGGUGAUAUGCGUAGAUAUCGGGAGGAACAUCAGUGGCGAAGGCGGCUUACUGGACGAUAACUGACGCUGAGGCUCGGAAAAGCGAUGGGGGA
rnacentral:rRNA from 1 species